rnacentral:ncRNA from 1 species
UUUCAGGGCGGGGUGCAAGUCCCCACCGGUGGUUACAGCCCACGAGCGCAAGCUGAUUUGGUGAAAUUCCAAAGCCGACAGUUACAGUCUGGAUGAAAGAAG